rnacentral:tRNA from 1 species
GUGGCCUUAGCUCAAUCGGCAGAGCACUGGAAUGUGGAUCCAGCGGUUAGGGGUUCGAUUCCCCUAGGCCACCCCA